GGGUUGUGAGGUUAAGCGACUAAGCGUACACGGUGGAUGCCCUGGCAGUCAGAGGCGAUGAAGGACGUGCUAAUCUGCGAUAAGCGUCGGUAAGGUGAUAUGAACCGUUAUAACCGGCGAUUUCCGAAUGGGGAAACCCAGUGUGUUUCGACACACUAUCAUUAACUGAAUCCAUAGGUUAAUGAGGCGAACCGGGAGAACUGAAACAUCUAAGUACCCCGAGGAAAAGAAAUCAACCGAGAUUCCCCCAGUAGCGGCGAGCGAACGGGGAGCAGCCCAGAGCCUGAAUCAGUGUGUGUGUUAGUGGAAGCGUCUGGAAAGGCGCGCGAUACAGGGUGACAGCCCCGUACACAAAAAUGCACAUACUGUGAGCUCGAUGAGUAGGGCGGGACACGUGGUAUCCUGUCUGAAUAUGGGGGGACCAUCCUCCAAGGCUAAAUACUCCUGACUGACCGAUAGUGAACCAGUACCGUGAGGGAAAGGCGAAAAGAACCCCGGCGAGGGGAGUGAAAAAGAACCUGAAACCGUGUACGUACAAGCAGUGGGAGCACGCUUCGGCGUGUGACUGCGUACCUUUUGUAUAAUGGGUCAGCGACUUAUAUUCUGUAGCAAGGUUAACCGAAUAGGGGAGCCGAAGGGAAACCGAGUCUUAACUGGGCGUUAAGUUGCAGGGUAUAGACCCGAAACCCGGUGAUCUAGCCAUGGGCAGGUUGAAGGUUGGGUAACACUAACUGGAGGACCGAACCGACUAAUGUUGAAAAAUUAGCGGAUGACUUGUGGCUGGGGGUGAAAGGCCAAUCAAACCGGGAGAUAGCUGGUUCUCCCCGAAAGCUAUUUAGGUAGCGCCUCGUGAAUUCAUCUCCGGGGGUAGAGCACUGUUUCGGCAAGGGGGUCAUCCCGACUUACCAACCCGAUGCAAACUGCGAAUACCGGAGAAUGUUAUUACGGGAGACACACGGCGGGUGCUAACGUCCGUCGUGAAGAGGGAAACAACCCAGACCGCCAGCUAAGGUCCCAAAGUCAUGGUUAAGUGGGAAACGAUGUGGGAAGGCCCAGACAGCCAGGAUGUUGGCUUAGAAGCAGCCAUCAUUUAAAGAAAGCGUAAUAGCUCACUGGUCGAGUCGGCCUGCGCGGAAGAUGUAACGGGGCUAAACCAUGCACCGAAGCUGCGGCAGCGACACUAUGUGUUGUUGGGUAGGGGAGCGUUCUGUAAGCCUGUGAAGGUGUACUGUGAGGUAUGCUGGAGGUAUCAGAAGUGCGAAUGCUGACAUAAGUAACGAUAAAGCGGGUGAAAAGCCCGCUCGCCGGAAGACCAAGGGUUCCUGUCCAACGUUAAUCGGGGCAGGGUGAGUCGACCCCUAAGGCGAGGCCGAAAGGCGUAGUCGAUGGGAAACAGGUUAAUAUUCCUGUACUUGGUGUUACUGCGAAGGGGGGACGGAGAAGGCUAUGUUGGCCGGGCGACGGUUGUCCCGGUUUAAGCGUGUAGGCUGAUUUUCCAGGCAAAUCCGGAAAAUCAAGGCUGAGGCGUGAUGACGAGGCACUACGGUGCUGAAGCAACAAAUGCCCUGCUUCCAGGAAAAGCCUCUAAGCAUCAGGUAACAUCAAAUCGUACCCCAAACCGACACAGGUGGUCAGGUAGAGAAUACCAAGGCGCUUGAGAGAACUCGGGUGAAGGAACUAGGCAAAAUGGUGCCGUAACUUCGGGAGAAGGCACGCUGAUAUGUAGGUGAAGCGACUUGCUCGUGGAGCUGAAAUCAGUCGAAGAUACCAGCUGGCUGCAACUGUUUAUUAAAAACACAGCACUGUGCAAACACGAAAGUGGACGUAUACGGUGUGACGCCUGCCCGGUGCCGGAAGGUUAAUUGAUGGGGUUAGCGGUAACGCGAAGCUCUUGAUCGAAGCCCCGGUAAACGGCGGCCGUAACUAUAACGGUCCUAAGGUAGCGAAAUUCCUUGUCGGGUAAGUUCCGACCUGCACGAAUGGCGUAAUGAUGGCCAGGCUGUCUCCACCCGAGACUCAGUGAAAUUGAACUCGCUGUGAAGAUGCAGUGUACCCGCGGCAAGACGGAAAGACCCCGUGAACCUUUACUAUAGCUUGACACUGAACAUUGAGCCUUGAUGUGUAGGAUAGGUGGGAGGCUUUGAAGUGUGGACGCCAGUCUGCAUGGAGCCGACCUUGAAAUACCACCCUUUA
rnacentral:rRNA from 1 species